GUGAGCGUAGCUCAACGGUUAGAGCACUGGAUUGUGGAUCCAGGGGUUGAGGGUUCAAGUCCCUUCGCUCACCCCA
rnacentral:tRNA from 1 species